GACGAACGCUGCCGGCGCGCUUAACACACGCCAGUCGAAUGGCGACGCACCUUCGGGUGCUGAUCAGUGGCGAACGGGUGAGUAACACGUGGGCAACCUGCCCCUGACUCUGGGCUAACUCCUCGAAAGAGGUGCUAAUCCCGGAUAUCACCUCCCUCGGCAUCGGGGGAGGUUGAAAGUUUUUCGGUCAGGGAUGGGCCCGCGGCCUAUCAGCUAGUUGGUGGGGUAACGGCCCACCAAGGCGACGACGGGUAGCCGGCCCGAGAGGGCGACCGACGACCCUGGGUCUGGGACACGGCCGAGACGCCGUCGUGGGGAAGGUGUGGGGAAGAUUGCGCAAUGAGCGAAAGACUGACGCAGCAACGCCGCAUGAGGGAUGACGGCGUUCGGGUUGAAAACCUCUUUCAGCGGGCAGGAAGCGAUAGUGACGGUACCCGCAGAAGAAGCGCCGGCUAACUACGUGCCAGCCGCCGCCGUAACAC
rnacentral:rRNA from 1 species